rnacentral:tRNA from 1 species
GCCCCGGUAGCUCAGUUGGAUAGCUGCCCACGGAUUGGGUGGAGGACGUGGGUUCGAGUCCCACCCGGGGAU